rnacentral:rRNA from 1 species
CCUACGGGCGGCAGCAGUGAGGAAUAUUGGUCAAUGGACGAGAGUCUGAACCAGCCAAGUCGCGUGAAGGAUGACUGCCCUAUGGGUUGUAAACCUCUUUUAUAUGGGAAUAAAAUGUUCCACGUGUGGGAUUAUGUAUGUACCUUAUGAAUAAGCAUCGGCUAACUCCGUGCCAGCAGCCGCGGUAAUACGGAGGAUCCGAGCGUUAUCCGGAUUUAUUGGGUUUAAAGGGUGCGUAGGUGGUUUGUUAAGUCAGUCGUGAAAGUUUGCGGCUCAACCGUAGAAUUGCAGUUGAAACUGGCAGUCUUGAGUACAGUAGAGGUAGGCGGAAUACGUGGUGUAGCGGUGAAAUGCUUAGAUAUCACGAAGAACUCCGAUAGCGAAGGCAGCUCACUGGACUGCAACUGACGCUGAGGCACGAGAGUGUGGGUAUCGAACAGGAUUAGAUACCCCAGUAGUC